GAUGAACGCUGGCGGCGUGCCUAAUACAUGCAAGUCGAGCGAACAGACGAGGAGCUUGCUCCUCUGACGUUAGCGGCGGACGGGUGAGUAACACGUGGAUAACCUACCUAUAAGACUGGGAUAACUUCAGGAAACCGGAGCUAAUACCGGAUAAUAUAUUGAACCGCAUGGUUCAAUAGUGAAAGACGGUUUUGCUGUCACUUAUAGAUGGAUCCGCGCCGCAUUAGCUAGUUGGUAAGGUAACGGCUUACCAAGGCAGCGAUGCGUAGCCGACCUGAGAGGGUGAUCGGCCACACUGGAACUGAGACACGGUCCAGACUCCUACGGGAGGCAGCAGUAGGGAAUCUUCCGCAAUGGGCGAAAGCCUGACGGAGCAACGCCGCGUGAGUGAUGAAGGUCUUCGGAUCGUAAAACUCUGUUAUUAGGGAAGAACAAAUGUGUAAGUAACUAUGCACGUCUUGACGGUACCUAAUCAGAAAGCCACGGCUAACUACGUG
rnacentral:rRNA from 1 species